rnacentral:rRNA from 1 species
AACAAGGAUUCCCCUAGUAGCGGCGAGCGAACCGGGAGAAGCCCAGCUUGAGAAUCGCGUGGUCAUUUAGGCGGCGCGAGUUGUAGUCUGGAGAAGUGUCCUCUGCGGCGGACCUGGCCUAAGUCCCCUGGAAAGGGGCGUCAGAGAGGGUGAGAACCCCGUCGGGCCAGGACCCUGCCGCUCCACGAGGCACUGUCAACGAGUCGGGCUGUUUGGGAAUGCAGCCCUAAGUGGGAGGUAAAUUCCUUCCAAGGCUAAAUACUGGCGGGAGACCGAUAGCAAACAAGUACCGCGAGGGAAAGAUGAAAAGGACUUUGAAAAGAGAGUUAAAGAGUGCUUGAAAUUGCUGGGAGGGAAGCGAAUGGAGGCCUGGUGUGCGCCCCGGUCGGAUGCGGAACGGCGUAAGCUGGUCCGCCGCUCGACGCGGGGUGCUGGUCAGCGUGGGCUUCUUUGGCGGGAUAAACGUUGGCGCGUGCAAGCCUUAACCGGUUUGCGGGUGUUGGCCGAUGCCGUCGGGGAGGCUGAGGAUCUUGAAGUGCGCGUCCCCUUUUUGGGGACGGGGCCUCCGUUMGGAGGUCACCUGCGUACUCGGGACGCUGGCGUUGUGGGCUUUUCAUCCGACCCGUCUUGAAACACGGACCAAGGAGUCUAACAUGCAUGCGAGCCGGUGGGCGGCAAACCCACGUGAGGCGCAAAUAACUUGACUGGUGUGAUCCUUUUUUUCUUUCGAGGAGAAGAGGUGCAACAUCGACCGACCAUGAUCUUCUGUGAAAGGUUCGAGUAAGAGCAUGCCUGUUGGGACCCGAAAGAUGGUGAACUAUGCCUGAGCAGGGCGAAGCCAGAGGAAACUCUGGUGGAGGCUCGUAGCGAUACUGACGUGCAAAUCGUUCGUCAGACUUGGGUAUAGGGGCGAAAGACUAAUCGAACCAUCUAGUAGCUGGUUCCCUCCGAAGUUUCCCUCAGGAUAGCCGGAGCAUGAGGAGUUUCAUCAGGUAAAGCGAAUGAUUAGAGGCCUCGGGGGUGAAACACCCUCGACCUAUUCUCAAACUUUAAAUAGGUGAGAUCCGACGGGGUUGCUUAAGUGAACCCCCGGCGGAGAAUCCAAACUG